rnacentral:rRNA from 1 species
UACGUAGGGGGCAAGCGUUGUCCGGAUUUAUUGGGCGUAAAGAGCGUGUAGGCGGCCAUACAGGUCCGUUGUGAAAACUGGAGGCUUAACCUCCAGACGUCGAUGGAAACCGUAUGGCUAGAGUCCGGAAGAGGAGAGUGGAAUUCCUGGUGUAGCGGUGAAAUGCGCAGAUAUCAGGAAGAACACCCGUGGCGAAGGCGGCUCUCUGGGACGGUACUGACGCUGAGACGCGAAAGCGUGGGGAGCGAACAAG